GGGGAUAUAGCUCAGCAGUAUAAGCAACAGCCUAGCAAGCGCAAGGUCCUGAGUUCAAUUCUCAGUAACCCCC
rnacentral:tRNA from 1 species